AUGUUAUAACCCGGUUUUGAUAUCCCAAUAACCCUAAUUGCCGUUCAAACUCAACCCCUCACAACCCUAACUUCAAUCACCUCAAUCUGUCGUUCAAUCCAAGCCUUUAAAAUCCUAAGUUCUAUAUGUUCAAUCUAUCCAAGAUUCAAACGCUACCGUUAAUUCGAUUUUAACAGUUAUAUAAUCAGUUAUUGAAUCAUUUGAAAGUACCUGCAUCCAGAACAUCCACUUUCCAAAUGUUAGGCAUCUACGGGACUCACUUGGUCAAGGGACAGAAGCAAAUAUGAUCCAUAAACAUGAAGAAGUGGUUGAAGCGAUUCCGGACGAGAAGGUUUGAGAGAGAACAUGGUAUAACAACCAAACGGCUAAUGACAACAAGAACAGUGGAUAUGGCUUGGAGAACGAGAUCGUUACGGGUUCUACCUAUGUUGCUUUUGCCUGCUUUGUCGUUCGGUUCGGUUUGUAUUAUGGGCUUUUGAGUUUCACUAAAUUUUGAUGUGGUCAAAUGGGUUAUCUACAUGCUUGAAUGGUAAAGCGGUUUGGGAUUGGCAUUGGAAGCGCACGUCUACAUCGGAAAACGAGAAGAUGGAAUCUCAUCAGCACCUUAUGGAUAUGUUAAUCCAGCAGUAAAUAAAGGACAAAGAAGAUAGGUUGUUAUAGGAUGGAGGUGGAGGCACAACGAAGUUCUCAAUCAAGAAGUGAGAAAGGAGUUAUAAGAUGGCCUCAGUACGAAUGUGCAAGUCCAACCUUUUAAGUGGAGCUCAAUCUCCCGAAAGUAAACUAUUUUUCAUGGAGGGUGGUAAGUAACAAAAUCCUUACAACUGAAGGUUUGAUCGCGAGAGGCAUCCAAGUGGGAGAUGUAUUGUGUCUGGCUUGCGGGAUACACACCGAAUUAGAAAACCAUCUUCUCACCUCAUGUAUUGUGGUGAAAAUAGUUUGGUGGUAAAUAUGUGUUUGGUUCAAAGUUCCAAUCCCAAAUCACUUUGAUUCUUUGAACUGGCUGCUUCUAUGCUGUCUUGAAUUAGGGGUGCCUACAAAGAAAGAGGAAAUAAUGUGCGCAAUAUUUUUUUAGAAACGGCUUGGAGGUAGUGAAUUGGUAGAAACAAAAAGGUUUUCAAAGGCGUUAACAUGAUGACUUAAAAAAUGGUGGACAAUAUUGAAGAGUCAACGAAUUGGUAGGCGGUAAAAAGAUCAAAGACGGUCGUUUUACCCAUCAAAAUUUGAAACAGUUUCAAUUGGAUGAAUUUUGGUUAAUGUACUGUUAUGUAGAUGUAAUCUGAGGUAGUAGUGGGUGGUUUGUUAUUUUGUUAUAUUCCCCAUUUUAAUCCUUUAGCCAACUUUGGUUUUGUUUU